UACGUAGGGCGCAAGCGUUAUCCGGAAUUAUUGGGCGUAAAGAGCUCGUAGGCGGUCUGUCGCGUCUGCUGUGAAACCCAGGGCUUAACCCUGGGCUUGCAGUGGAUACGGGCAGACUAGAGGCAGGUAGGGGAGAAUGGAAUUCCCGGUGUAGCGGUGAAAUGCGCAGAUAUCAGGAGGAACACCGGUGGCGAAGGCGGGUCUCUGGGCCGAUACUGACGCUGAGGAGCGAAAGCGUGGGGAGCGAACAGG
rnacentral:rRNA from 1 species